UACAAAAUAGUUUAAAUUAAAAUAUAAACUUUGGAGGUUUAAGAUUUUUAUUUUUGUAA
rnacentral:tRNA from 1 species